rnacentral:rRNA from 1 species
AUUUCCUUAGUAACGUAGCUAACGCGUGAAGUUGACCGCCUGGGGAGUACGGUCGCAAGAUUAAAACUCAAAGGAAUUGACGGGGACCCGCACAAGCGGUGGAUGAUGUGGAUUAAUUCGAUGCAACGCGAAAAACCUUACCUACCCUUGACAUGUCGGAAUUCUGCUGAGAGGGGGUGCUCGAAAGAGAACCGUACACAGGUGCUGCAUGGCUGUCGUCAGCUCGUGUCGUGAGAUGUUGGGUUAAGUCCCGCAACGAGCGCAACCCUUGUCCUUAGUUGCUACGCAAGAGCACUCUAAGGAGACUGCCGGUGACAAACCGGAGGAAGGUGGGGAUGACGUCAAGUCCUCAUGGCCCUUAUGGGUAGGGCUUCACACGUCAUACAAUGGUCGGACAGAGGGUGCCAACCCGCGAGGGGAGCUAACCCAGAAAACCGAUCGUAGUCCGGAUGCAGUCUGCAACUCGAGUGCUGAAGCUGGAAUCGCUAGAAUGCGGGAUU